rnacentral:rRNA from 1 species
UAGUCCACGCUGUAAACGAUGUUCACUCGUUGUUGGCAAUACAUCGUCAGCGACUAAGCGAAAGUGAUAAGUGAACCACCUGGGGAGUACGAUCGCAAGGUUGAAACUCAAAGGAAUUGACGGGGGCCCGCACAAGCGGAGGAGCAUGUGGUUUAAUUCGAUGAUACGCGAGGAACCUUACCUGGGCUUAAAUGUAGAUUGACAGUCAAAGAGAUUUGAUUUUCUUCGGACAAUUUACAAGGUGCUGCAUGGUUGUCGUCAGCUCGUGCCGUGAGGUGUCGGGUUAAGUCCCAUAACGAGCGCAACCCUUACCGUUAGUUGCCAUCAGGUCAAGCUGGGGACUCUAGCGGAACUGCCUGCGCAAGCAGAGAGGAAGGUGGGGAUGACGUCAAAUCAGCACGGCCCUUAUGUCCAGGGCUACACACGUGCUACAAUGGUCGGUACAGAGGGCAGCUACCUAGCGAUAGGAUGCCAAUCUCGAAAGCCGAUCUC